rfam:Thermoplasmatales archaeon E-plasma genomic scaffold AMDT2_EPLS00003, whole genome shotgun sequence.
GCCCCGAUAGUGUAGCGGCCUAUCAUACAGGCCUGUCGAGCCUGUGACACGGGUUCAAAUCCCGUUCGGGGCG